AUGACACCGUUAGCCAGCAGUGUGUCUCCUGAAAAGAGAGCUGAUUAGAGAGGCAGUUUUGAAUUUAGGAGUGGCAAGAUGGCAGCGGCAAACCCUGGCGGUUCUCCGGGUUCGUGGCAACCACGGAUGGGGAAAAUGUGGAGGUUGCACGGCUGAUGUUUACUGUUCAUGGCGCAGGAAGAGGCAGUUUUAUUUCAGGAAUGAGUGAGCACAAUCAAAGAAUAGAGCGACUGUGGAGAGACCUCUGGGUGGCCAUUACAUGCUUUACUACGAUGUUCUUCACAACCUUGAGGAAGAAGACCUUCUUGACAUUUCAAAUGCUGCACACCUCUUUUGCUGCCAUUACGUCUUUCUUCCUCGACUGGAGGAUGAUUUUAAUACAUUUUGCAGUGGAUGGGACAACCAUCCACUGCGAACAAAAAACAACAUGAGUCCCAACCAGCUGUGGGAGUUGGGUCACAGAUAUCACCCUGUUCCUGUUCCAGAAAACACACAGCUUAUCACACAUUUGAUUUCCAUGUGUGACAACUGC